rnacentral:rRNA from 1 species
ACGUAGGGUGCGAGCGUUAAUCGGAAUUACUGGGCGUAAAGCGUGCGCAGGCGGUUCUGCAAGUCAGAUGUGAAGUCCCCGGGCUUAACCUGGGAACUGCGUUUGAAACUACGGAGCUAGAGUACGGCAGAGGGGGGUGGAAUUCCACGUGUAGCAGUGAAAUGCGUAGAUAUGUGGAGGAACACCGAUGGCGAAGGCAGCCCCCUGGGCCGAUACUGACGCUCAGGCACGAAAGCGUGGGGAGCAAACAGGAUUAGAUACCCUGGUAGUCCACGCCCUAAACUAUGUCAACUAGUUGUCGGGAAAGCAAUUUCUUGGUAACGAAGCUAACGCGUGAAGUUGACCGCCUGGGGAGUACGGUCGCAAGAUUA